rnacentral:rRNA from 1 species
CACGGGAGGGACAAGCGUUGUUCGGAAUCACUGGGCGUAAAGGGAGUCUAGGCGGUCAGGUAAGUGGAAUGUGAAAUCCCUCGGCUCACCCGAGGACCUGCAUCCCAAACUGCCUGGCGUUGAGUAUGGGAGAGGAUGAGGGAAUUCCUGGUGUAGCGGUGAAAUGCGUAGAUAUCAGGAGGAACACCGGUGGCGAAAGCGGCACACUGGGUCUUAACUGACGCUGAGGCACGAAAGCCAGGGGAGGCGAACGGG